UGGAAUGCGGGACUUGGUAGCGUUAUCGCGAUGGCGCGAACGCGGCAUCGUCGCGUCGGUCUUGCCGCGUGAAGUUGACCGCGCGUGCAUACAUGACGCCGCGCCGCUUCUCGCCACCUUCAGUUGCAUUCCCGUUUCUUUUGCAAAACGCAAUGGACGCGAGAUGGACGGGCUCCGGAACGGAGGCGUGAUCGCGGCUCGUUUAACAGAACGAGGCGUACGCAAAAAGGAUCAACUUCGAAACGAAUGGCGUUACGAUUAAUUUAAUUAAUCGUUUAAUAUUGUAUGUACUACAAUUCUAUUAUUGCAUAUCGUGGGAAUAUAAUCUAAAGAGGUCUGACAACUCGGAAACAAAUUAGACUUAAGGGAGGUAUGGGAUUUCGGAGGAGAAACUUUGCGAUUCAUCACAGCGACGUUUGAUAACUCCAAUGUUGCGCAUCAAUCGAGGUAACAAAACUAUGAAAUAUAACAAGUCAUUAUAAUUUUUAAUAAUAUA
rnacentral:lncRNA from 13 species